CAGGUAAUUUGCUGAGCCUGAUGGGUGUCAGGGUCAGUCCAAGUGAAAGCAAAGAAAGGCUGGGAUGAAGGGUGCAGGGAAAUAGUGAAAAAAGCAUCAAAAGAUCAAGAAUGGAAUAGUGAGUUGUGGAGGAAGGUAUUGAGGACAAAAGAGUGUAUGGGUUGGGCACCACAGGGUGGAUACACAAAACAGUUUGGUUGAUAAGGCGCAGAUCCUGAACUAAUCUGUAAGACUUGUACAGUUUUUGGACAGGUAAAAUGGGGGAAGUGCAAGGAGAGUUUAUAGGCUUUAAAAAGGCCAUGCUGUAACAGGCAAGUGAUAACAGGCUUUAAUCCUUUUAAAGUGUACUAUGGGAUGGGAUAUUGGCGUUAAGCGGGGUAAGAGUGAUUAGGUUUUAAUGGGAUGGUAAGAGGUGCAUCAUUUGUCACCAAGGAGGGAGUAGAGGUAUCCUAUACUUGUGGAUUAAGGUGGGGAGAUAUAAGGGGAGGAUGCGAAGGAGGCUUUGAACUGGGGAAAAGGCGGCAAUGAGGUGUGGCUGUAGCCCAGGAAUAGUCAGGGAAGCAGAUAAUUUGGUUAAAAUGUCUCAGCCUAAUAAGGGAACUGGGCAAGUGGAGAUAACUAAAAAAGAGCGCAUAAAAGAAUGUUGUCUAAGUUGGGACCAGGGUGGGGGAGUUUUAAGAGGUUUAGAAGCCUGGCCGUCAAUACCCACAACACUUAUGGAGGCAAGGGAAACAGGCCCUUGAAAAGAAGGUAAUGUGGAGUGGGUAGCCUCCAUAUUGAUUAAGAAGGGGACGGACUUACCCUCCACUGUAAGAGUUACCAAAAGCAUCUGUGAUGGUCCUGUAGGCUUCCCAGGCAAUUGGGCAGUGUCAGUCUUCAGCCGCUAAGCUGAGAAGAUCUGGGAAGGAGUCAAUCAGAGUCUUGGGCCAGUUGGACAGUCCAAUUUCCAGCGGGGUCCAACAGAGAUGGGACACAGCUUAAGAGGAAUCCUGGGCUACGGGCAUUCCUUGGCCCAGUGGCCAGAUUUCCAGCACUUGAAGCAAGAUCCUAGGGGAGGAAGUCCUGAAGGAACACCUGACUGCUGUGGCUUAGGCAUUUUGAAGUUUUUGUGCACUGGAGAUGUGGCUGGGGUUUCUCUCACAGCAGAGGCAAGUAAUUGCAACUCUUCUCUGUUGUUGUACACCUUGAAGGUGAGGUUAAUUAAGUCCUGUUGUGGGGUUUGAGGGCUGGAAUGUAAUUUUUGGAGCUUUUCCUAAUGUCGGGAGCUGACUGGGUGAUAAAAUGCAUAUUAAGAAUAAGAUGGCCGGGGCCGGGCACGGGGGCUCAUGCCUGUAAUCCCAGCACUUUGGGAGGCUGAAGCGGGCGGAUCACGAGGUUAGGAGAUGGAGACCAUCCUGGCUAACACGGUGAAACCCCGUCUCUACUAAAAAUACAAAAAAUUAGCUGGGUGUGGUGGUGCGCGCCUGUAGUCCCAGUUACUCGGAGGCUGAGGCAGGAGAAUGGUGUGACCCCCGGGAGGCGGAGCUUUCAGUAAGCUGAGAUCGCACCACUGCACUCCAGCCUGGACGACAAAGCCAGACUCCGUCUCAAAAAAAAAAAAAAAAAAAA
ensembl:lncRNA